rnacentral:lncRNA from 1 species
UUGAAGAUCUGCAAGAGUUGCCACUCUAUUGUCUACUUGUGGAGAUGCACUAUCUAUGACCUAGUCUACUUCCAUAUUUAGAGAAUAGAUGGAAAAAUUUUGAGAGAAGAAGAAAUUGCUAAGUCUCUUGGAGAAAAUUGUAGCACUACCUGUCACUAAAAUCUACUCGGAGAAAAGAAAAAAAAAACACUAAACGAUUUCAGUUUUAGAGGAGGGUAAUCCGCAACCUCUAAAAAUGCCUCAAUGCUUUCGAGAAGAGGGGUAAUCCGCACUCUAUCAAGAAGGCAAACCUCUGAAAUCGAUGUUAACAGUCUUUUCUACUAGAUAUGUGUCACGGACACAAAAUACAGACUUGAAAUCUAAUAAGAAGUUCAAGAAGAAGUGGCAGAACUAGAUUAAACAGAUGAGUACAAGAACAACACCAGAAAGGUGAGCUAGAACUCCAAGAGAUGUG